AUUGAACGCUGGCGGCAUGCCUUACACAUGCAAGUCGAACGGCAGCACGGGGGCAACCCUGGUGGCGAGUGGCGAACGGGUGAGUAAUACAUCGGAACGUGUCCUGUAGUGGGGGAUAGCCCGGCGAAAGCCGGAUUAAUACCGCAUACGCUCUACGGAGGAAAGGGGGGGAUCUUAGGACCUCCCGCUACAGGGGCGGCCGAUGGCAGAUUAGCUAGUUGGUGGGGUAAAGGCCUACCAAGGCGACGAUCUGUAGCUGGUCUGAGAGGACGACCAGCCACACUGGGACUGAGACACGGCCCAGACUCCUACGGGAGGCAGCAGUGGGGAAUUUUGGACAAUGGGCGAAAGCCUGAUCCAGCAAUGCCGCGUGUGUGAAGAAGGCCUUCGGGUUGUAAAGCACUUUUGUCCGGAAAGAAAACGCCGUGGUUAAUACCCGUGGCGGAUGACGGUACCGGAAGAAU
rnacentral:rRNA from 1 species